rnacentral:lncRNA from 1 species
GCCAGAAUCAGGCUGCAAAUGCCAAAGCAAGAGAUGUCAGCAAUGAGUUGCAGGUCUUUGCCAAACAGAGCAUCAUCUGGCAGUGAAAGGAGAGCAGAAGAGGGGAUUUUGAAGGCUUCCUGCACACUUCCGACAACUUGAUUGAACUGGACGCCCUUGGAAGUUCAUGGCAUCGCCUAUAACAGAGUCUGUGUAGGCAAAACCCCAGCCUAUGCUGGAAUUUAACUCUUAAAAAGCAACCUAAGUAGAACACAAGAUUGUAAACUCUAAGGAGAUUCUAACACCAAAAGAAAGUAUGACUUGAGCCAAUGAAAUGCCAAAAUCCAGUUCUAGCUGACAACGUCAGUAGUGGAGGACAGACUUCCACUUGCCAUUUGAGGAAAAAGCAUGUGGAUUCAUGAGCAUAACAGCAGAUACCCCACUACCAAUUACCAAAUCCUGUGCACAUUCCUGUUCUCCAGUCACCUUUUCUCCAUAAAUGUUUGUGGUAUAAAAUGAAAACCUUCCCAAAUAUUAACCAGUCAAUCUUAAACUGAUCCUGUUCUCGAGUUUCCAGAGCGAGUACAGCCCUGCCACCUCUGGAGUUCAGCCCAGUGAAAGUGCUUUCAGACUUCUGACCUCCAGAACGGUGGACCGACCAUGGACUGAUGGAAAAAGGAACCACGAGGAGCUCCAACAAUGGGAAUGUGGUUGCCUCUUCCUAGUGCAACACCUGGGUUCUGGAGUGGUGCAUGCCAGGUAUUUGGCAUGAAGGUGGAACAAGCAAGGAUGGUGCUGGUGUUUGUAGCCACAACCAAUGUGGUGUGAGCAGGUGAGCCCCAGGCUACCUGACCAAAUGGGGGUACAGGCUGGUGCUGGUUGUUCCCCUCCAUCCUGGUAUAGUUUUCGGUGUUCUUGAUGUGGAACUGCAGAGACAUGCUAACCCCAAUGUUUUCACCAUGUUUAGGGGCUCCAGGUCUCAUUAUCCCCCCUGGGCCUAGAGUAGAAUUGUCAACCGAUGCAGUUACUGUCUCCAGUGCCAGGCAUUCUGGUGGUAUCUCUAAAUGUAGAUGACUUGGCUGUGCCAAUGAGGGAAGCACUUGGUU